CUCCGUGCUCGCGCAUCGAACGGUUGGCGCUCUAUCCACCUCAGUCCCGUGACCCCCGGCGCCGCAAGGCCUGAGGGGAGUGAGUGAGUGCCGCCAUCGUUGCCCGUGUUGCAUACCCGACCGUCUCCCCGUCCUCGGAAGGGGAAGGGGAAAGGAUCGGCCUGUGACAUCGUCCCACGUCCGUCCGGCGCCUCGCAAGGGGCUUGCCGGAGGACCAAGAAGUAGCUCCCGCGAUCCACCCGCGUCGAUCCGGUCGGCGAGUUUGGCCCGCGGGACGCUGUUGCUCUCUCGGAUGCGGUGCAUGCCGAGGACUGCCGGGGGCACUGUUCCCCGCACGUCCCGAACGAACGAUUCGACCCGACUCGAUUCUCCAGAGAGACGCUCGCGCCCGGCGCACCCGUGGGCCGGCGCGCGAGACGUCGCGGAGGGUUGCUACCUGGUUGAUCCUGCCAG
rnacentral:misc_RNA from 1 species